UAUCUCUGUAGAGUCUGCAUAUCAAUAAGCGGAGGAAAAGAAACUAACAAGGAUUCCCCUAGUAACGGCGAGUGAAGCGGGAAGAGCUCAAUAUUUGAAAUCUUCAAGGGUUCUACCUUUACGAAUUGUAGUUUAAGGAAGUGUUUUCUGCUGGAGUUUUCGGUAAAAGUUCUUUGGAAUAGGACAUCAUAGAGGGUGAGAAUCCCGUAUUUGACCAGUUACUUUCCAGCGUUGUGAUACACUUUCAAAGAGUCGGAUUGUUUGGGAAUGCAGUCCAAAAUGGGUGGUAAAUUUCAUCUAAAGCUAAAUAUUGGCGAGAGACCGAUAGCGAACAAGUACCGUGAGGGAAAGAUGAAAAGAACUUUGAAAAGAGAGUUAAACAGUACGUGAAAUUGUCAAAAGGGAAGCGUUUGACACCAGUGUUGUUUUCUCGAAAAUCAAUUAAAAAAAGUUGGAUUUUGUGUUGUUAUGACCUUAUCAGCUUACUGUACUCUUUUCUUGUCUUUUUUAAUGCACUUUUCGUUUAACAAGUCAACAUCAAUUUCUUUUGUUGUAAAAGGGUCAUUGGAAGGUGGCUUUCUUUUCGGAGAAAGUGUUUAUAGCCUUUGGCCUCUGCAAUCGGAGAGAUUGAGGUCUGCAGCGUAGAUCCUUCGGGGUUAGAUACAUUUGUGCUAAGUUAUAGCCUUUCAUAGACAACUUGUUGACUAUGAUCAGUCAUGUAGCUUACUCGCUUAUGCUAUUUUACCUACGCUUAGGAUGUUGACGAUCAGCUGAGCGCG
rnacentral:rRNA from 1 species